AUCGCUUCUCGGCCUUUUGUUUAUGAUCAUGUGUAGUUCUGUUCUUGUCAGUUUUAAUAUCUGAUAUGUCCUUAUUUUCUCUCCAUAUAAUAAUGGGCGCCUGGGGGGCACAGUGCUUAGCACUGCUGCUUCACAGCAACAGGGACCUGUGUUCAAUUCCCGCCUCAGGCGACUGACUGUGU